CCCCUCCCCAUAAAUAAUGACCACUUCCUUAGGGAUCUUCGUGGUAACUUUUCUCCCAUCGGCAUUGUUACCCUGGUCUUGUGUAUUGCCUUUCUGAAAUAUCACCUAAUCACCUACCGACCUUGUGCUCAGUUGGUAGAGAGCAUUCAACUGCAAUAUUUGACAAAAUUAUGUACCCCAGUGCUCCUAGCCUGCUUGUUUGGAAAUUGCACACCCGAGAUUUUGAAAAUUUAAUGGUAAAUAUAUAAGCAAGCAUCAAAAUUGCAUGCCCAAUAUCAAGGUUGUGCAAUACAAACUUUCCACUAUGUUCGCUCCACACAGGACCAAUGUCUAGGUUCCAGAUGCCAACAUUGAAACAGAUGGGGAGAGAAGGUGUAAUAAAUGUAUCAAGAAAUGGUAUAAUACAUACAAUAUUAGCUAGCCUGCUUAGUAGGUGUUUGCCGCUGCAGCCUGCUACUUACAUAGACUAUGGGCUAUCAAAGGUGACAGGUUCAAUUCCAACUGUUAUGUUAUUAGUCUGUCUAUUAUGUUACAAAACAACCCUUAUAUACAUGAAUCUAAUUAGCAUGCAUAUAUACUGAA